rnacentral:rRNA from 1 species
ACUCCUACGGGAGGCAGCAGUGGGGAAUAUUGCACAAUGGGGAAAGCCCUCGAUGCAGCCAUGCCGCGUGUGUGAAGAAGGCCUUCGGGUUGUAAAGCACUUUCAGUGGGGAGGAAAGGUUGAUGGUUAAUACCUAUCAGCUGUGACGUUACCCACAGAAGAAGCACCGGCUAACUCCGUGCCAGCAGCCGCGGUAAUACGGAGGGUGCAAGCGUUAAUCGGAAUUACUGGGCGUAAAGCGUGCGCAGGCGGUCUGUUAAGCGAGAUGUGAAAGCCCCGGCUGC